rnacentral:rRNA from 1 species
GACGAACGCUGGCGGCGUGCCUAAUACAUGCAAGUAGAACGCAGUGGCGAACGGGUGAGUAACGCGUAGGUAACUGCCUCAUAGCGGGGGAUAACUAUUGGAAACGAUAGCUAAUACCGCAUACUGUGAGAUGGACCUGCGUUGUAUUAGCUAGUUGGUGAGGUAAAGGCUCACCAAGGCGACGAUACAUAGCCGGCCUGAGAGGGUGAUUGAGCCACACGGGAUCGGGACACGGUCCCGACUCCCACGGGUAGGAGCAGUAGGGAAUCUUGGGAAAUGGACAGAAGUCUGACUGGGCAACGCCGCGGGAGUGAAGAAGGUUUUCGGAUCGUAAAGCUCUUUUGUUAGAGAAGCGGUAACUAACGAGAAAGGGACGGCUAACUACGUGCCAGCAGCCGCGGUAAUAC